rnacentral:rRNA from 1 species
UGGGGAAUUUUGGACAAUGGGCGAAAGCCUGAUCCAGCAAUGCCGCGUGUGUGAAGAAGGCCUUCGGGUUGUAAAGCACUUUUGUCCGGAAAGAAAUCCUUGGCUCUAAUACAGUCGGGGGAUGACGGUACCGGAAGAAUAAGCACCGGCUAACUACGUGCCAGCAGCCGCGGUAAUACGUAGGGUGCAAGCGUUAAUCGGAAUUGCUGGGCGUAAAGCGUGCGCAGGCGGUUUGCUAAGACCGAUGUGAAAUCCCCGGGCUCAACCUGGGGAACUGCAUUGGUGACUGGCAGGCUAGAGUAUGGCAGAGGGGGGUAGAAUUCCACGUGUAGCAGUGAAAUGCGUAGAGAUGUGGAGGAAUACCGAUGGCGAAGGCAGCCCCCUGGGCCAAUACUGACGCUCAUGCACGAAAGCGUGGGGAGCAAACAGGAUUAGAUACCCUGGUAGUCCACGCCCUAAACGAUGUCAACUAGUUGUUGGGGAUUCAUUUUCCUUAGUAACGUAGCUAACGCGUGAAGUUGACCGCCUGGGGAGUACGGUCGCAAGAUUAAAACUCAAAGAAUUGACGGGGUCAUGCUGUUUCCU